rnacentral:lncRNA from 1 species
AUCCGAGUGCCGGUUGGGUCUGGGGGUCGCGGGUGCCUCCGCGGAGUUUUCCCUGGGCCGAGAACUCCCUCUCCCACGCCCCGAUUCGCCACCUCUUCCUCCAAAGUUUGGCGGGCCGCCCGGACGGGGAAGCUUGAGGGGCGCACUGCUGGGCGGCCUUGCCCGGGCCUCGGAGGCGGUUCCGGGACGCCGGCGCCCUACUUACCCCGGCCGCCGAGCCCCCUCCGGCGGGGGCGGAUCCGACUGUCCGCGGCUGGCGUCCCGCGCCGGCAGCAUCCGCUCUCAACUUUGCCCUCCUCUGCGCAGAACGCGGCAGAAGCGGCUCUGUCGCUCCGAUCCCUCGCGGCCCGGGCUCUGCGCCCUCCCCGGAGGCGGCGGCGGCGGCGGGGAGGGAGGGAGGCGCGGCCCGGCCGGUUCGCACGCCGGGAGGGAAGCGGCGCCAGGCGGGCGCCGUCCUGCGCAGCGAGCGAGCGAGCAAGCGGUCCUGCCUGGCGCUCUCCCAGCUCGGGCCCGAGCCGGCGAGCGGCCCUCGGCGGCGGAGGAUUCCUGAACCGCGUCCAAGGCGCCCGGAGAGCCCUCCUCCUCCUCCUCCUCUCCUUCCUCACCCCACCCAGCUCCCAGCCCAGCGCGCCCGGCAACUUGGGAACCGUUGGUGAAGUUGGCGCAGCUCGGGCUGCGCGCCGGCCGGGCCUCUGGGUGGAAGGAGGGGAGGAGAGGGAGGAGCUGAGGGGGGAGGGAGGGGUCCGCCCCCGCCCCCGGGGAGCCGCGCGCUCCAGGACCCCUCUGUGGGCCUUUGUUCCGGGAGCCGCACCUCCGCCCGCCCUCCCCGGGGACUCGCUGGGGGGCCGCUCGGAUCCCCCACCCCUCCCAGAGAGGCUGGGAGGAGCUCCCGGCCCCGGGGUGGGUAGGUGGGGGGAGAGGCGGCGUGGAAAUCCUCGCGGCUUCGCCCUGCCAGAGCCUCCCAAGCCAUUACCGGCCUGCCAGCCUAUCUUUCCUCCGAGAGAUCCCUCUGGCUACGCUGGUUCUCGACCCCGAGCGGGGUGGGGGUCCAAAUGUUGGUCCCCCGGGCUUUCAAAGACCACAGCACACCCUCUCUGGGCCGUCACAGGUCACCCACUCGCCUUACCGCCUUCUCAUGCCUCCAGUCAAGAGUCCCUCAAGUGUGACACCCGGCAAGCCAGAAGGAAGUGGGGUCCACGGGGGCCAGCCAGGCCGGCUUUAUCUUCCCACCCUUCUGGGCAGCUGGCGCCUCCCGCGGAGGGUGGGGUGGGUGCUGCUGGCCGACGAGUGGGGGCCGGUUGCCUCCCACACGUGGGGCAGUGCCCGGGCUAG